AACGAACGCUGGCGGCAGGCUUAACACAUGCAAGUCGAACGGAUGUAGCAAUACAUUAGUGGCGCACGGGAGAGUAACGCGUGGGAACCUACCCUUUGGUCUGGGAUAACGUCGGGAAACUGACGCUAAUACCGGAUAAUCCCUAUGGGGCAAAGAUUUAUUGCCGAAGGAUGGGCCCGCGUUGGAUUAGCUAGUUGGUGAGGUAAUGGCCCACCAAGGCUACGAUCUAUAGCUGAUCUGAGAGGAUGAUCAGCCUCAUUGGGACUGAGACACGGCCCAAACUCCUACGGGAGGCAGCAGUGGGGAAUAUUGGACAAUGGGGGAAACCCUGAUCCAGCCAUGCCGCGUGAGUGAUGAAGGCCUUCGGGUUGUAAAGCCCUUUUAGUAGGGACGAUAAUGACGGUACCUACAGAAUAAGCUCCGGCUAACUUCGUGCCAGCCGCCGCCGUAA
rnacentral:rRNA from 1 species